rnacentral:rRNA from 1 species
CCUACGGGCGGCAGCAGUGAGGAAUAUUGGUCAAUGGGCUUACGCCUGAACCAGCCAAGUCGCGUGAGGGAAGACUGCCCUAUGGGUUGUAAACCUCUUUUGUCAGGGAGCAACGCCGGCUACGUGUAGCCGGACUGAGAGUACCUGAAGAAAAAGCAUCGGCUAACUCCGUGCCAGCAGCGACGGUAAUACGGAGGAUGCGAGCGUUAUCCGGAUUUAUUGGGUUUAAGGGGUGAGUAGGCGUAAUGCAAAGUAGGGGCAAAAAUCGCGGGCUCAACCUCGCUCCGCCGUUGAAACUGGCGUUCUUGAGUGGGAGAGAAGUAUGCGGAAUGCGGGGUGUAGCGGUGAAAUGCAUAGAUAUCGCGCAGAACUCCGAUUGCGAAGGCAGCAUACCGGCGCCCAACUGACGCUGAAGCACGAAAGCGUGGGUAUCGAACAGGAUUAGAUACCCGGGUAGUC